UACGUAGGGUGCAAGCGUUGCCCGGAUUUAUUGGGCGUAAAGGGCGCGUAGGCGGCCUUCUAAGUCGAACGUGAAAUCCCCGGGCUCAACCCGGGAACUGCGUCCGAUACUGGAAGGCUUGAAUCCGGGAGAGGGAUGCGGAAUUCCAGGUGUAGCGGUGAAAUGCGUAGAUAUCUGGAGGAACACCGGUGGCGAAGGCGGCAUCCUGGACCGGUAUUGACGCUGAGGCGCGAAAGCCAGGGGAGCAAAGCGGG
rnacentral:rRNA from 1 species